AGGGUUUGAUUCUGGCUCAGGAUGAACGCUAGCGACAGGCUUAACACAUGCAAGUCGAGGGGCAGCACGGUGUAGCAAUACAUUGGUGGCGACCGGCGCACGGGUGAGUAACGCGUAUGCAACCUACCUAUCAGAGGGGGAUAACCCGGCGAAAGUCGGACUAAUACCGCAUAAAACAGGGGUCCCGCAUGGGAAUAUUUGUUAAAGAUUAAUUGCUGAUAGAUGGGCAUGCGUUCCAUUAGAUAGUUGGUAAGGUAACGGCUUACCAAGUCUGCGAUGGAUAGGGGUUCUGAGAGGAAGGUCCCCCACACUGGUACUGAGACACGGACCAG
rnacentral:rRNA from 1 species